rnacentral:lncRNA from 1 species
UCCACCCAUUUCUUAUCUUGUAUUUAGUUUACAAUGUUUGGUCAGGUAAGAACUGUUUGCAAUAAAUUUGUACAGUCCUUUUGCCAAAAGGGAUCUCAUUCAACAGCUGAAUCUCCCAAUCCCUACAACAGCAGAAGUUUAGUUCCCAGUUUUAACUUAUAGUUAAUUGAACGUGGCCUGUUAAACUAAAAUUAAAUACCUGACCCAAUGUGAUCGUCUCAGUUUCAUAAAAGUAAAUAGAAGCUUUCUCCUGUGUUGGAGUUUGUUUGUUUUCUUACAAAUCAUACUGUUACAUAAGGCUAUCAUAAGACAAUACUGAGACUUGUUUGUAGUUAAAAGUAAAGCAUGAUUCUCUGAUAUCCAUGAUGUUGAUCUGUAGAAAUACUACUAAAGAGAAACAAACACAUGUACACUUGUCUUUGCAAAAUUCAGGCAGAUUCAGUAUGUACAAACCAUACCAGUGUUAUAUGCUUAUUAUGCUUUGAUUUAGAGUUUGGAUUUUGCUGAAAAGUACAGACGGUUGUACUCUAAAAGCCUCUGUUAGGUUUUCCUUUAAGAUAUUUUUUAAAUAACUUGAUGAGGACUUCAUUUGGAGUGCCAUUUAUCAAUAUAAUCUCCGUAAUAAUGUAUUAAACUAUGUUUUUAAAUUUGGGGGUUAGGAUGAUAGGUCUGAUCUCUGAACAAGAGUGAGCAAUGCCGUGUUCUCAGGGACUGGGACAGAACAAAAGCAAAUAGGGAUGUUCAAAAAGACAUACAGCCUGCAUGGCAAAUGGAGUAUUUCUUCCAGUGCCAGUAAGGUCUCAGACCAAGUGGGAUGUUCACUGUCAAGAAAUGUGUCUUCUCUGCACCAACUGUAGAAAGUCUGUAGGACUGCAGCUUGAAUGCCCAGGGACCCACAGAAAUGAGAGCUGGAAGGAACUGGGAUUCUCAGUCUAGAAAAAGACUGAGAAAGAAACACAGCCACAGUUCUGCAUACAGUGCAUUUGCAUCAUCUUUCAAGCGUCUAAUCAAGCAUGAAUUACCUAACUGCAGGUACAAGCAGUGGAGGAAUUAUUUGGUAGCUAUAUCUGCUCCUGAAGCCCAUAAGUGGAGGAAGCCAGUUUAAGGAGACCACCAGAGCUGUCAGGCACACAAAAGUCAGCAAAUCUGAAGAGCUGACUGGGGAAGGAAAGGAAGGAUGUCCAAAACCAAUCAUGGAAAUCUUCAACUUGUUGGUCUGCACUCUCUGUCUCAUUCUUUAGGAAUGACUGUUUCCCAUUCCUGAUGCCUUCAUCUGAUGAGUCAGAUGAGGCUGAUGCUAACCAGCUUUCAAGAGGGCAAGCCAUUAGGCUGAAAUGGAGGUAGUCUCAGGAAACUGAAAACUUCUGCCUGCUAUGUAGUAUGAAAAACUCAGGGACAUUUUUUUCCCCUAAUUUUUUGUUAGAUUAAAACAAUUCCGUGCAAAAACUUAUGGUUGGAAAUCGAACUAGGAGUCGAGCUAGGGAGUUGUGCCAGGCUCCUUAUAUUUCCUUCUUUAUACCUUCUGGACUUUAUUUCAGUUAAAUGUUUGUAAGAUCAAACUUCUAUGCUAUCUGUAAAUCAAAAUACUAUCAGUGGCCUCAAGUUUGGAAAGCCAUUUAACUGGUUCUGUGACUAAAUCACUGUCAUCUCCAUCUUGAUUUAAUCUCUUUCAUAAUGGCAUUAAGAACUGCAGUACAGAGAGGCAGAUCUUAUGUCUGCUUCAUGAAAUGUGCUACUUGUACAGACAUGCUGAGUUUUUGCCAGUUAAAAACAUGCUUCACCACCCCUCUGAUUUUUUUUUUAUGCCUUCUGCACUCUAAUUACAUGAGCUAGUAAACUUACAUGUGUACAUAUCUCCAGGUUUACAUGGUAAGUGACCAAUGGAGAACAUAGAUUGAUCAGUGUGUAAUCAGCUUAAUAGUGAAUUUAGAAAGUGCAUUCAACAUCAAAGAUGUAGGGACACUUAGACCCUACAUGCAUGAUCAUUAUAGUUUGGGAGGAAAACGUUAUAGUGUGUUUGAUCAGUGAUGAGAAGUAAUUGUUAAAUAUGAAUUAAUAAAGUUACCUUAGAAUUAAGUUUUCUGAGGACA